AACCGCUGAGCGGCUAAGUUAAAAUUUGUAAAAGAAGCGCGGGGGAGGAAAAAUUCAUUCCCACACUUAGACAUAUUUGGAGUAUCAUUGACUUCAGCUUGCCCUAACACUAUUCGACCAAACCUCCCUUUUCUCCUUCGUUCUCUGCCUCCGACAAAAACCAUCCUCCUCUUCGUUCUCCGCCUCCGACCACAACCCUCCUCCUCUUCUCCAUUCUCCGGCUACAAUCACAACCCUACCCUCCUCGUCCUCCUCCUUUUCCGCCUCGGACUAGCUCCUCUGCUCGAAGACGGUGAAGAGAAUCAGCCUCUUCGUUCUCCCCAUCCGACAAAAACCAUCCUCCUCUUCGUUCUCCGCCUCCGACCACAACCCUCCGCCUCGUCUUCGUUCUCCAGCUACAAUCACAACCCGACCCGCCUCGUCCUCCUCCUUUUCCGCCUCGGACCAGCUCCUCUGCUCGAAGACGGUGAAGAGAAUCAGAGAUGGAGGCCGGGCUUUUGGAGAAAAUUUGAGCUUUUUGUCUUAGGAUUUGUGUUUCAUCUACCGAAGCUUUGUGGGCUGCAUUCGAGCUUUCUGGGCAUUCAUGUUCUGAGCUUUCUGGGCAUUCUCCAUAUCUGAGGAGACUUCGAACUGUGUUUUCUAGUCAUGAAGGUUUCUGUAGCUUGGAAGUUUUAAGCUUGGGCCAAGAAGCGAAAACAACGCACAUCCCCUACAAUGGGGACUCCACCAUUUCAAUCAAGACCCCUUUCCCUCUGCUCUGGUGUCCUGUGAACCCAACUAAACGACACCCUCGCCAUGUCAAUUAACUCAUCAAACGCACACCCUUUUCUCUCCUGCAUUUUUAUUUUCCAUAAAAGGCAGAGGCAGCUUCACCAAACAGUUCUCACAUUCACAACCCAGAUUCAGUUGUUGUGAUUGAAAAAGGUUUUGCCUUUGAUCAGUGUUAUAGGUUGAGGUGAAAUCGAUUUGUUGGCAACAUGUAUCUUCUGAGGAGAAAAGCUCAGAACCCUGUGGAGGAUGAUUCUGCACAGAAAGAGGCACAGAAAGAAGCUCAGAAAGAAGCAAAGGUAAAUAAUUUACUUUUACUUGUGGCAGUAUGUGUGUGUGUCUUUUUACGCCAUUGCAGCUGUUGAUC